UACGUAGGGUGCAAGCGUUAAUCGGAAUUACUGGGCGUAAAGCGUGCGCAGGCGGUUUUGUAAGUCUGUCGUGAAAGCCCCGGGCUCAACCUGGGAAUUGCGAUGGAGACUGCAAGGCUAGAAUCUGGCAGAGGGGGGUAGAAUUCCACGUGUAGCAGUGAAAUGCGUAGAGAUGUGGGGGAACACCGAUGGCGAAGGCAGCCCCCUGGGUCAAGAUUGACGCUCAUGCACGAAAGCGUGGGGAGCAAACAGG
rnacentral:rRNA from 1 species